rnacentral:rRNA from 1 species
GUACACAAAAAUGCACAUAUUGUGAGCUCGAUGAGUAGGGCGGGACACGUGGUAUCCUGUCUGAAUAUGGGGGGACCAUCCUCCAAGGCUAAAUACUCCUGACUGACCGAUAGUGAACCAGUACCGUGAGGGAAAGGCGAAAAGAACCCCGGCGAGGGGAGUGAAAAAGAACCUGAAACCGUGUACGUACAAGCAGUGGGAGCCUCUUAAUGGGGUGACUGCGUACCUUUUGUAUAAUGGGUCAGCGACUUAUAUUCUGUAGCAAGGUUAACCGAAUAGGGGAGCCGAAGGGAAACCGAGUCUUAACUGGGCGUUAAGUUGCAGGGUAUAGACCCGAAACCCGGUGAUCUAGCCAUGGGCAGGUUGAAGGUUGGGUAACACUAACUGGAGGACCGAACCGACUAAUGUUGAAAAAUUAGCGGAUGACUUGUGGCUGGGGGUGAAAGGCCAAUCAAACCGGGAGAUAGCUGGUUCUCCCCGAAAGCUAUUUAGGUAGCGCCUCGUGAAUUCAUCUCCGGGGGUAGAGCACUGUUUCGGCAAGGGGGUCAUCCCGACUUACCAACCCGAUGCAAACUGCGAAUACCGGAGAAUGUUAUCACGGGAGACACACGGCGGGUGCUAACGUCCGUCGUGAAGAGGGAAACAACCCAGACCGCCAGCUAAGGUCCCAAAGUCAUGGUUAAGUGGGAAACGAUGUGGGAAGGCCCAGACAGCCAGGAUGUUGGCUUAGAAGCAGCCAUCAUUUAAAGAAAGCGUAAUAGCUCACUGGUCGAGUCGGCCUGCGCGGAAGAUGUAACGGGGCUAAACCAUGCACCGAAGCUGCGGCAGCGACACUAUGUGUUGUUGGGUAGGGGAGCG